UGAAAAGCACUUGAAAAGAGAGUUAAAAGCACGUGAAGCCGUUGAAAGGGAAACGCGCUCGGCUAGCAAUGUGCCGCGACGGUUCAGCCGUUUUGAGGGGUGAGGUGGUCGUUGUCGGAUCCGAAUGGACCGCGGCGGUGCCGUCGCCCUUCGAAACACGGUGCACUCUUUCGUGGUACGCGUCAGCGUCGGUUCGCGGCGAGUGACAAGGCCCGGCGGAAGGUAGCUCGAGGCUUGCCUCGAGUGUUACAGCCGCCGGUGCUGGGCUCACCGCGGACCGAGGAGAGAGAGUAUCUUUGCAGCGCAUGCCGCAAGGCUAGCUGCCCGCUGCCUGGUUCGUUCCACUCGCUGAGGACUGCACGCAGUGCUUGGCUUGGCGGGGUGGCCUGGUGGUGGUGUCGGUAUAAAUGCGCUCAGGACGCUGGCUCCAAAUGGCCCUGCGCGACCCGUCUUGAAACGCGGAA
rnacentral:rRNA from 1 species